rnacentral:lncRNA from 1 species
GGAGAUUAGAUUUACUGAUCAAGUCUAAGGGCUUUUCUACUUUGUUGGCCAUCUUCAGUUUCAAUUUGUGGAAAAGUCAAUCUUUGUUCUGUGAUAUCAUAAGCAAAGUAUCUAUUCGAAGAAUUGAAAGUUGAGUUUUCUCGUUUUCCUUCGGUGAUUGUGUUCAGAGUCGAUAGAUUUAGAACUUUCCAUAAAGGAAAGUGUUCCAAAAUAGGGUAUGUUACAACCAUCCAGAAGCAAGGAUGGUGUUAACAUCUAGGGAGUUAGUUCAAGUCCUCGUAGAUUCAUCAGUGGCCAAGAGGAGAAAGCGCGCAGGGUGGAUACACAUGUACAUAAAGAAUUCAAUCGACGAGGUUUCUGUUUUCAACAGAAGGAAGAAGUAGGCAGAGGCAUCGAUUCCAGCGAAGCUCGUGAUGGCAGAGAUUUUGGCGAGUCGGUGGAGACUCCCUAGCUUGAAUGACUGAUAUACCAUGUAUUUUACCCACUUUUAGCCAUGGUAUAUAGGUAUUUUCAAAUACAUUAUAGUUGUUUUGGAGUCUUUCUAGUAUGAUUUCAGGUUUUGGAGUGAUUUGGAGGAAAAUAGUGAUUUUGAUGCAUUUUGGAGAUAAAAUGAUAAAGACCCGAAGUUGACCAUCGACCACGACUAUCGAUCGAUGGGCGAACGCAACAAUCGAUCGACACACACUAUGUGGUAUCGAUCGAAGGCGAAGCGUGCAGAAACAGGAUUGAGUUCCAGCAGCCUACUUAAAGCCCAAGUCCCACAAAAAUUACCAGAUUACCCCUGGCGAGUUUUAACCUAAUAUUUAUGUGCUCUGCCAUUGUUCUAGGCAACACACGCUUUCAUACUUUCUACUUUUCAUACAGCAAAAUACUUAGAGUCUUAGAUUUGGAGAGAAGAUCCAAGAACUCCUUCAGAACUUUGUGAUUGGAACUCCAGUUCCUCUACUCUAUCUUAUUUAUGCAGUUUACUUAUGUUAUUGUCAUGAAUUGCUUAGCCAUGUCUAAGUAGUUUAUCUUGUUAGAUUUAGGGUUCAAAUAUUCAUGAGGAAUUAGCCCAAA